CUGCGGCAGGAUCAUUAUUGAAUAAACCUGAUGGGUUGUAGCUGGCUCCCUCGGGGGCAUGUGCACACCUGUCGUCUUUAUAUCUCCACCUGUGCACCUCUUGUAGACCUGGAUGACUUUCCGAGGCAACUCGGUUCGGAGGACUGCUGCGCGUCUCACGAUGCCGGCUUUCCUUGCAUUUUCCAGGCCUAUGUUUUUCAUAUACCCCAUCGUAUGUAACAGAAUGUAUCAUUGGGCCUUGUGCCUAUAAACUAUAUACAACUUUCAGCAACGGAUCUCUUGGCUCUCGCAUCGAUGAAGAACGCAGCGAAAUGCGAUAAGUAAUGUGAAUUGCAGAAUUCAGUGAAUCAUCGAAUCUUUGAACGCACCUUGCGCUCCUUGGUAUUCCGAGGAGCAUGCCUGUUUGAGUGUCAUUAAAUUCUCAACCUUACCAGUUUUUACAAAGCUCGGUCUGGCUUGGACUUGGGGGUAUUUUGCGGGCUUCUAACGAGGUCGGCUCCCCUUAAAUGCAUUAGCGGCGCCCCGCGUGGACCCGUCUAUUGGUGUGAUAAUUAUCUACGCCGUGGACAUCCACUUUAAAAUGGGUUGUGCUGCUUCUAACCGUCCUUCUAUGGACAACAUAAAUGACAAUUUGACCUCAAAUCAGGUAGGACUACCCGCUGAACUUAAGCAUAUCAUAAGCCCGAAGGAAAAAAAAUUUAGG
rnacentral:ncRNA from 1 species